rnacentral:rRNA from 1 species
GGUUAUACAAACAAAGGGCACACAAGGAUGCUAGGUAGUAAGAGCCGAUAAGGACGUGGUAAGCUGCGAUAAGCCUAGAUAAGUUGCAAUCGAACGUAAGAGUCUAGGAUUUCCGAAUGGAGCAAUCUAUUAAGAUGGAGUCUUAAUACGAAAGAGGGAACCGCGUGAACUGAAACAUCUAAGUAACGCGAGGAAAAGAAAGUAAAAACGAUACCCAAAGUAGCGGCGAGCGAAAUGGGUCAAGCCUAAACCUUAAAUAUGNCAAGGAUACAGCCGUUGUAUUUAAGGGGUUGUGGGACAGAGUGAUGAAGAACUGUAAGAUAUUCAAUAUAGUGUAUUGAUGAAUUAGAAUUGUCUGGAAAGGUGAACCGCAGAAGGUGAAAGUCCUGUAUAAGUAAAUCCUUACACAUAUAACUUUGCUCCCAAGUAACAUGGAACACGAGGAAUUCUGUGUGAAUCAGUGAGGACCAUAUCUCAUAAGGCUAAAUACUCU